UGGGGAAUAUUGCACAAUGGGCGCAAGCCUGAUGCAGCCAUGCCGCGUGUGUGAAGAAGGCCUUCGGUUGUAAGCACUUUCAGCGAGGAGGAAGGUGGUGAGCUUAAUACGCUCAUCAAUUGACGUUACUCGCAGAAGAAGCACCGGCUAACUCCGUGCCAGCAGCCGCGGUAAUACGGAGGGUGCAAGCGUUAAUCGGAAUUACUGGGCGUAAAGCGCACGCAGGCGGUUUGUUAAGUCAGAUGUGAAAUCCCCGGGCUCAACCUGGGAACUGCAUUUGAAACUGGCAAGCUAGAGUCUCGUAGAGGGGGGUAGAAUUCCAGGUGUAGCGGUGAAAUGCGUAGAGAUCUGGAGGAAUACCGGUGGCGAAGGCGGCCCCCUGGACGAAGACUGACGCUCAGGUGCGAAAGCGUGGGGCAGCAAACAGGAUUAGAUACCCUGGUAGUCCACGCUGUAAACGAUGUCGAUUUGGAGGUUGUGCCCUUGAGGCGUGGCUUCCGGAGCUAACGCGUUAAAUCGACCGCCUGGGGAGUACGGCCGCAAGG
rnacentral:rRNA from 1 species